GGAAUUGUUCCGUAAAGGAGUAUUAUUUUAUGAAGGAUUGUGUCUUACAGAACGUUUAAACAGCAGAAGUUUUUGUCCUAGGGUGAAUCUACAUCCGUGGGUUCCAAUAUUGUUUUUAUUUGACCUGGAAGGAUGGCAUCAAGACCAAAACGAAGAAGGACCUCGACCAAACGUCAGGAUCCACCUACAACAAGGAC